GUGCAGCUGCCGUGACCUGCCACUGGCCCCAGGUGGCUACUAAGCACUUGAAAUGUGAUGAGUGGGAGUGGGAAAUAGAACUUUUCCAUUUUAUUUCACUUUAAUUUAUAAUUGAACUUAAAUAGUCACACUAGACUGGUGGUCAGUUCUAAGGCCUGAUGACAAGUGUAAAAGGACGCAUGGUCCAGGCCCAGGCCUAGCUCCUGGUCUCUUGCCUCAACCCCUCCUCUCCUACUUACCCUACAGUGUCUGGGCAGGGAAGCAGGCUCUGUCCACAGCCUAGCUCCAGAGGCACCUCUAAAAGGACAGAAGGUGGAUGGUGGGGCUCUCAGGGAACAGCACAGACACCAACUGGGGAGUGGGCACCAUAGACUCCAUAAUGCCUUGGGUCUGGAACCGCAGGCCUCUCCUCUGCCCUGUUCUAGAACUCCCCAACUGCUGUUUCCCCUAGCAACUCCUGAGGUUAUCCCUGGAAUGUCUGGGCAGGGGCUGUAAAAUUGGAACAGGUCCCCCCUGCAAUCCCUCAUGUGGUGGCAGAGACCCCUGAGGGGAUGUGCAGAGGGCCUUGGUUCUCGGCUGGGCUGUUGAGCUGGGCACUCAGGGAGUUUCGCAUAGCCACGAAGCUACUCUCUCAGGCUCCUCUGGCAGGGAGCGUCAGGAUGAGAAUCCAGACCUGACUGCCACCCAGCCCUCUCACUUUGCAGAUGCAAAAAUCCAGACUCAGAAAGGGAAGUAACUUCUCCAACAGGGCGGGGUCUGAAGCCCAGGGUCCCGACCCCACCAAGCUGGCCCUGCAGGAGCCUCCUGAGAGGUGUCUCGGGAGCAGACCCAGGGGAAGGGGGCACUGUGCACCCUUGCUGGGUAGGCAAAAGUCUGUCUGCUUCUUGGCAGCUGUGUGGCUUCAAAGGCCCGCCAGCAGGGACUGAAGACUGAGCAAGCCACCCCUCUCCUGUCCCAGACCCACCUGAACCCACCAAAGCUGGGAAAGGAGGGGUUGUGGAGACUCCAGAAAAACAGGAAAAACUUAAACACAAUCACUAAGUAAAGCAUCGUUAACUCCUGUUGUGCUGAGCCCACAAACCGCCCCAGCACUCACUGUUCUACUGUCUGUCGCUGUGCAUUUGACAACUCUAGGGACCUCAUCAUAUAAUCACGAAUGGAGUCUCCAUGAGGGCAGGGAUGUUGGUUGGCUGUAUCCUCGGGCUGGAAGAGCACCGGCACGCAGCAGGCACUGAAUAGAAUUUCUAAAUAUACAAACGGAUGAACCAAUGGAUGGAUGGAUGAAUGAAGACCCUGUAUAGGUCAGUGCCUCAAAUGUCUGUGCCUGGCCUGGAGUUAUGUCCUUCACCCCCACUGUAGACUAACUCCUGGUCCCACCCUACAGCUUGGGAACUGAAGCCCCAGGCCUACCAUCCCUGAGCGGUAGCGGUGCUCAGCGUGGCAGGAUGCCCCACUUGAUGGUAGGCUUCUCCCAGAUGGCUAAUUGCUUCGAGUCUUUCCCCCAGAUGUAACAUGUCUAUGGGAGGAUUAUGACAUGGGCAGAUGAGAGUCCCCAGCCAUGGAGGUGACAAUGGGCCCUGGAGCCUCACAGGGCCGCAGCCACCAGGAAGAGGCAUGGAGGCCAGGAAGGUCCUGGAACACCAGAAUUCGGCCAACAGAGCCUGAAGCCAGCACGUCGUGGAGGGGCAGCAGCCUGGGGGCAUUCAGGAGACCUGGAGAUGUGGCAGCUGGCCAGGAGCUGGGCUACAACCUUGACAAUCACUAACCUCUCAUCUCCUCAUCCUGCCAGGCUAUUUAUAGCCUCCCUCUCUCUGAAAACUCCUUCACCCAUUUUUCUGAGCUUAACAAGCUUGGUAAAUUGAAAUCAGGUGGACCACCUCCCCAACCUCAGCAAGCCUGCUGGGGUGACUGCACUCAGGCCAGGCCUGCUGGCAGCUCCUGCUCCAUGACAGGGACCCUUGAGGGCCUGCUGAGAGUCACAGGUUGGGGUGUCCCCAGGAAGGUGGCAUCUAAAGAGAGGGCAGCAGCUGGGCACGCAGGCAGACCUCAGCCAGAGAUGCUGGACAAUGGUGACCCCAGAAGGGCUCAGCUCACCCCAGGCCUCCUCCCUGCUUCAGGAAAAACAAACAGAUUGGGACAGUGGAAAAACAGCUGUACCUUUAAAUUAUCUGGCCCACAGAUAUGAAAAACAUUUGCAUGCUGAAGCUGUUUGCAUCUUCGGUUAUUUUUAGGGUGAACCCAGUUGCCUCCCCUUGGAACCGGAUGAAGCCCCAGAGGCACGUAGUCCUUUUUCCCAGACGGGGGUCCUGGUCCUGUUUCCCUGGGAAUAAGGCUUGAGCAUGAGCUCUCUGGGACCUAGUCCCCGACCAGAACCACACAGUGCAUUCAGGCUCGGGAGGAACUGGAGCACCAGGGAGCCAAGGCUGCAACUUUGAACAUUUGCCACUGCUGACAUCAUGGCCACCCACCUGGGGCCAGAAAGAGCCCCUCCGCUGCCCCCAGAGCAUGGGUGAAGAGAUGAACGCUUAGCCUACUGCCUCCUCUCAUGCCAGGCCCAGCUGAUGGGAAUAUUUUGCUGAGAUAUUUCUAGAGCCAGCAGCAAUUAAAGCAGAUUUUCUCUUCCACGCUCCUUCCCCAAAACAAGAAUAAAUCAGUCCUACCAAUUUCCCAGCUAAUGAUUUCCUCCAUUAAAUUAAAAAGAAGAAGAAAAUGUUUUCUUAAAUGGAUUACCAGCCCUGUGCUUUCAGAGACCAUGUGACCUGUCAACUCCUUUUAAAGUCUGAUACAUCAAAGUCCCUGAAUUAAUUUUUAAUAAAUAAAAAAGUCAUAGUCUAAGAAGCACCAUCCCACACACCCCCCUCCCCUGUCAAGGGUCAGCUCUGAGCUGAC